AUUGAACGCUGGCGGAAUGCUUUACACAUGCAAGUCGAACGGCAGCACGGGUGCUUGCACCUGGUGGCGAGUGGCGAACGGGUGAGUAAUGCACCGGAACGUAUCCAAUAAUGGGGGAUAACGCACCGAAAGGUGUGCUAAUACCGCAUACGCCCUGAGGGGGAAAGCGGGGGAUCGUAAGACCUCGCGUUAAUGGAGCGGCCGAUGCCGGAUUAGCUAGUUGGUGAGGUAAAAGGCUCACCAAGGCGACGAUCCGUAGCUGGUCUGAGAGGACGACCAGCCACACUGGAACUGAGACACGGUCCAGACUCCUACGGGAGGCAGCAGUGGGGAAUUUUGGACAAUGGGCGCAAGCCUGAUCCAGCCAUUCCGCGUGAGUGAGGAAGGCCUCGGUUGUAAAGACUCUGUCGGCUGGGAAAACGGACGUAUCCGGGAAAGUUACGGUAGCGUGAUGGUACCAGC
rnacentral:rRNA from 1 species